rnacentral:rRNA from 1 species
GGAUGAACGCUAGCGGCAGGCUUAAUACAUGCAAGUCGAGGGGCAGCGGGAGUAGCAAUACUUGCCGGCGACCGGCGCACGGGUGCGUAACACGUAUACAAUCUACCCUUUACAGGGGGAUAGCCCUCCGAAAGGAGGAUUAAUACCCCAUAAUAAAUUGAAUGGCAUCAUUUGAUUUUGAAAGAUUUAUCGGUAAAGGAUGAGUAUGCGUCUGAUUAGCUAGUUGGAGAGGUAACGGCUCCCCAAGGCGACGAUCAGUAGGGGAUCUGAGAGGACUACCCCCCACACUGGUACUGAGACACGGACCAGACUCCUACGGGAGGCAGCAGUAAGGAAUAUUGGUCAAUGGAGGCAACUCUGAACCAGCCAUGCCGCGUGCAGGAAGACGGCCCUAUGGGUUGUAAACUGCUUUUGUACGGGAGAAAACCCUCUCACGUGUGGGAGGUUGAUAGUACCGUAAGAAUAAGCAUCGGCUAACUUCGUGCCAGCAGCCGCGGUAAGACGAAGGAUGCAAGCGUUAUCCGGAUUCAUUGGGUUUAAAGGGAGCGUAGGUGGACUUGUAAGUCAGUGGUGAAAUCUCUCAGCUUAACUGNGAAACUGCCAUUGAUACUGCAGGUCUUGAGUACAGAUGAUGUGGGCGGAAUAUGACAUGUAGUGGUGAAAUACUUAGAUAUGUCAUAGAACACCGAUUGCGAAGGCAGCUCACAAAACUGUNNUGACANNNGAGGCUCGAAAGUGCGGGGAUCAAACAGGAUUAGAUACCCUGGUAGUCCGCACCGUAAACGAUGAUAACUCGUUGUUAGCGAUAUGACAGUUAGCGACCAAGCGAAAGCGAUAAGUUAUCCACCUGGGGAGUACGCCGGCAACGGUGAAACUCAAAGGAAUUGACGGGGGCCCGCACAAGCGGAGGAGCAUGUGGUUUAAUUCGAUGAUACGCGAAGAACCUUACCUGGGCUUGAAAGUUAGUGACCGUCUCUGAAAGGAGAUUUUCCGCAAGGACACGAAACUAGGUGCUGCAUGGCUGUCGUCAGCUCGUGCCGUGAGGUGUUGGGUUAAGUCCCGCAACGAGCGCAACCCCUACCAUUAGUUACCAGCGGGUAAUGCCGGGGACUCUAACGAGACUGCCUGUGAUAAACAGGAGGAAGGUGGGGAUGACGUCAAGUCCUCAUGGCCCUUACGUCUGGGGCUACACACGUGCUACAAUGGUCGUCACAAAGAGACGCAAUGCCGCGAGGUGGAGCAAAUCUCCAAAGACGGCCCCAGUUCGGAUUGGAGUCUGCAAUUCGACUCCAUGAAGUUGGAAUCGCUAGUAAUCGCGGAUCAGCACGCCGCGGUGAAUACGUUCCCGGGCC